rnacentral:rRNA from 1 species
UACGGAGGGUGCAAGCGUUAUCCGGAUUCACUGGGUUUAAAGGGUGCGUAGGUGGGUCUGUAAGUCAGUGGUGAAAUCUCCGGGCUUAACCCGGAAACUGCCAUUGAUACUAUAGGUCUUGAAUGAUCUGGAGGUGAGCGGAAUAUGUCAUGUAGCGGUGAAAUGCUUAGAUAUGACAUAGAACACCGAUUGCGAAGGCAGCUCACUACGGAUCGAUUGACACUGAGGCACGAAAGCGUGGGGAUCAAACAGG